rnacentral:lncRNA from 1 species
UGGGACAACAUCCCUAAUGCGCCUUGAAAUGAGGAACUCAAAAGUCACGUGUAAAGAAAAAAUCUCUGUGUAGUGAUAUUGGACAUAUUUCUAUUUUUAGCAAAUGACUGAACUUAAUUAUUUGUGGUGAUUAGGAAAGUAGAGGAACAUAGAAUAAAUGUGUAAAAACUAUGGAGCUAUUGAAUGUGUUCAAAGUAUUAAAUUUUCAAAGAACUUCG